UAAUAUAUUGAUCAGUUACAACAAAUCAAAUUAAAAGAACUAAACAAUCUACUUACAAGAUAGACUAUCUAAUACGAUACGACCUAAAGCACCAUCGCCGGAGUAAAUGCUGCUACAACCACCAGCCAUCGCGUCGAAUUACAUAUUUCAUUUUUUAUUGUGAUAGUAGGGGAAAACGGUGUAAAAGGUUUGGAGAGCCGCAAGAGAGAGCAACAUAAAAGCCGCAAAUGCCGAAAUUGAGGCCCAUGGGCUCUCAAAAUAGGUAUGCUUAAACCCGGCCCAACCCACAUGCCACCCAUUCUUACAAUAUUCGUUUAACUCCACAAACAAGUCGGAUAAGUAAUGAGUCUUGACAUCAAAGGCCACAUCUUUCCCAACAUUUUUGAAGAACUUUGCAAUCUCUUUAUCCGUACCAAAAUAAUUCUCAAUAAUCUUAUUUUGUGAAAGCAAACCCACGUCGGUUGAGGUGCUCAUUAGACAUCCCAUGAAUACAACAUAUGUUGUAAUGUCUUUUGAGCAAGUAGAAUAACAUUGCUCGAAAGCCAUACAGUUCAUGAAAAAAGCACUGUGAAAAUCAUCCAUGUUGAUUUGGGGAAUUAAAAGCAACCCGUUUUGGAAUUCAAUAUCCAAGAAGCUAUCGGCUUGAUAAUUCACCUUGAACUUAACCCCAACAUUAACAAGCUUGGUGGCGGGUCGGAUGAGUUUAAGGGAAGGGUGGUUGGAUUUAUCAUUAUUUUUAGGCGCAUUCGAUUUUCUAUUCCUAGUUUCUAUGAAACUCUUUCUAUAAAAAUCAAGUAAAUGUUUUCCCUCAAGAUUCUCACACUUCUCCAAAACUUCUGGUUUCCUAUCAACCAUAAUCGGUCCUAGACUCUUCAAACAACUUUUGUAGAACGAAAAAUGGGAUUUGGUUCU
rnacentral:lncRNA from 1 species